rnacentral:lncRNA from 1 species
UAUAGAGGAACUACUGAAACUGUACUGAUCUGUGAAGAGGCUUUUCCAGUGCAAUUAAUGUAUUUAUCACAUCCAAAUUCCCUGUGCAUUAGUUUUACUGGCAUUGUGCAGAUGACAGAUUUAUUUAUUUAUUUAUUUAUUUAUUUAUUUAUUGUGCACUGGAGCAUAUUUCAGCUCAAAUAACAGUGUAUGCAGGUGGCUGGAGUAGAACAGUAUUUCCACUUAAGACGAACCAGAACCAAACAAAUGUGUGGCUUCAUGAAAUACCUGUGCAAUUCCUACAACAUCCCUGUGCUACCUGGACCAGAACGUCAUCCUGUCUGUCAUUAGGAGUGUACUGGCUGACUUAGGUUGAAAUAGCAAUGCUGGCAAGUGUUUGAAGCAAAGCAGAUUGUAAGCCUAUCUUGUAGCAACGCCAGCCAACACACUUCACUAAUAGCAACCAGAAUAGCUUGGAAAUUUACAUGAUUGAUACAUAAAUAGAAGAAAAAUAGAAUGCACAGAGGACAAGAGGUAAGACAAGAGAAUUCUGGUAUCACACAUUUACUCUUUCUAUGAAUCUGAAGCUGUUGGAAAACCCACUGGAAAAUCUAUCAUUAUAGAAGACGAAUGGAACUUGGACCAAUGUCAAAGCCUUUGAAAAGAUACUUUUUAGUCAGGAAUAAUUCAAUUAUUACUGAAUUAUAUAAAUUCAAUAAUAAAUAUAAUUAUACUAUAUACAGUAUGUAUAAUAUAUAAUUAUAAUAUAAUUAUAAUCAAUAUAAAUAAUAAUAAUAAAUAAUAAUAAUUUAAAAAAAGAUUAACUGGUGGUAGUCAGACAAAAAGACCAAAUAAGUGAUUAAACAAAAUUCUCAUACCACAACAUUUUCUGGAGCACUUCAUGAUGUUCGAAUGCUAUAUCAAAGUGUAAACAAAGUGUGAACAUAUCACAUCAGUUCAACCAAGGUAUGAUUUGGAUGAGUGUGGUGGAAUACAUUGAAAUGUUGAUCAUGUAGCACGUUAGUGAGCUGUGUAUUGACAGGGAGCUUCCAUAGUCAAGGUGUUGCUUUUGAUUGCUUGUUAAACUCUCUCAGUGAUUUGUGACUAAUCUAUAUCUAAUUUGAAGUAUUCAAUAGAAUCUCUUGCAUCUCUAUGUUGAAGGCCCUUUUCUUUGAUACAGUUUGUUCUGAAUUUUAUUACCCCCUGAUUUCAGUUAAACAUGUG